UCCCAGGUGGCUCAGAUGGUAAAGAAUCUGACUGCAAAAUGGGAGACCCAGGUUUGAUCCCUGGGCUGGGAG
rnacentral:tRNA from 1 species